GUUGUUGGUUCCGGGUGAGGGGGGGCCGUGUCGCUGCCCUGCCAUCGUGCUGCGCGCCGAGGGCCGGUUCUGCUACGAUAGCCGGGCCGGCAGGGAGACUCUCCGUGCCAAAGGAGAGGUCUUCAGGAGGAAGUUGUUGGAAAACAGGCUUCAUAAUGGAAACUGUGUUGCAAUUUCAACCUUGCUAUAAUUGCUGCCACCUAGGAUAACUGGAAAAGUAAUGACACCGUUCAAAAGUUGCCUAAGUAUUUCCAGUCUGAUUUCGACUGGCCUUUGGGGGUGUUGAAGAAAAAAUUAAUGUUGUUCAACAUAGUGUAAGCUGUUCAGAAGAAAAGUGGAGAAUUCGAUACAUGUUUAUAUUUUGAGACUCGUGAUGAAAGAAUAUUGAUUAUUGCAUUGGAGCCAAGUGCUGUCUUGCUCUGGCUAAGGGUGGCUUAUCAACGGAUCAUGUCCUGAUUUUGCCUAUUGGGCAUUACCAGUCAGUGGCUGAACUUUUUGCAGAGGUGGUGGAAGAAGUAAACCAGUGUUGUUUGAAAGAAAUUACCAGAGUCCGCACCUACAGUUGCAGGUGAUUCCUGUACCACUCACUGUUGUGCUACUGAAGACAUUAAAGAGUCCUCUAUUGUACAAGUGCAAGAACAGAUCGAAUUACUAGAAAUCCCAGAGCACUCUGAUAUCACGCAAGCGAGACAUAGACUUCAUUCAAGAGGCAAUGAGACCUAUUCUUCAGUGGAUGUCCAGUUUGCUGCAACUGUUUGAACUCAUCCCCACCUGCACCAGGGGUUCUGGUGUCCCAGCUCUGAGGCCUGGUCUACACUACAGAGUUUGUUUGUUUGCAAGGCAGCUUACGUUGACCUAAUUCUGUAAGCGUCUACACUAAAAUGUUGCUCCCGCCGAUGUAACUCGCCCUCUCCGCCGACUUAGUAACUCCACCUCCACGAGAGGCAUAGUGCUUAGGUCAACAUAGUUUGGUUGACACAAUAUCAGUGACACUGUAUUACUUAUGUCUACUUUAGUGGCUUCCAGGAGGUGUCCCACGAUGCCCCAGCAUAACUGCUCUGGUCACCUUU